UCUGACUGGUAUCCUGCUCAUUUCUGCUAAGCAGAACAUUCUCAAGGAAUGUUUUCCAUGAAAUCGGGCCCUGGUCAAAGUCACCCUGUACAAGAUCCAAUUAUGACUAAUACGAGAAAAUAAUAUGAAAAACAAUAAACUUCUUUCAGUUUUUCUUUGAAAGAAACAUGUGUGAGUGCCUGGGUAUUCACCAAACCGGGUACCUAUAACAAAAGAGGGAAAUAGGCUUCCUAGUUGGAAGGUGUGUACAAAACCAAUGGGAGCUGUUAUCAAAAAGUUAAAUUACAAACAAAACAGUGACAAUAAGAGGUCCCCAUUGCAGGUGUUUAAAUAAAAAAGUAUGGAACGGUGUGGUUCGGUAUACACUUUCAAGCCAGGGACCUAUAACAAAAGAGAACAACAUUGGGGUCCCCAAUUGGGUAAAGGUCCACAGUUGGGUAACAGUCCACAGUUGGGUCAUAGUCCACAGUUGGGUAAAGGUCCACAGUUGAUUAACAGUCCACAGUUGGUUAAAGGUCCCCAGUUUGAGAGCGUGUACAAAACUAAUGGGAGCUGGUGCCAAAAGUACAAACAAAAACCUGGACAAUACGAGGUUCUGAUUGUGAGGCAUAGACAUUCAAUGCUAAUCAAACUAGAUGUUUAGUUGAGUUCAUUAUAGAAAAGGACUUAUAUACGGACAACAAGACUUUACUAUUAGCUUGCUUCAGCAGAAUUUUUAAUUGAGCUUAUCAUUUGCACUCCAUUUUACUACACAUACCACAAUCAUUCAAUUACAGCGCCUUUUAGUUAUAACUAGCAUCAGAUAAUUACCAUAAUCAUGAAUAUUCAAAUUGGUAUUUUAUCAUCAAUAUUCAAAUUGGUAUUUUAUCAUCAUACACCGUUAGCCGACAUUCACACUUAUCAAUCUGUGAGCCGCAUUGCAUGUUAUUUAAAGCUUGUGUACACUUCUUGUAAUUAUCAACAAAUUCUAUAGUAGUAUUUUUGUCAUAAAUUAGUAUUUAUGUCAUAACAAUUUUCUUUCUUUGCUUAAUGGCAAACAAAACUUAGAAACGUUUCUUCUAUUAAAUCAAUUCUAUGAUAAUUUAUAAGCUUAGAACUUAUUUGGUCCUUCUCAGUACCGUUUCAAAGAAUAACUAAAAGUGUAUAAAGGCUUUAGGUUCUUUCUUUAUAAUUUUCCAAUAACAAUUACUUUACUUGAUUGCCCCAUUCCAAUUAAUAAUGACUAUUAGUUUUGUACUUAUCUGCAGUCACACACAUGCACAGUUUUGGUUAGAGUAUCUGCAUUUAGCUCAAAAUACAAUACAAGUUUCAGGUUAAGAUUCAGCAUUCAGUAGUUCCAAAAACUCUUUAUAAAAUAUCUUUACUGAGCCAGCUUUUCUAAAGGAAAUAAUACUUCAGCAUCAUCAGCUUGUUAAAUCAAUUAUUUGUUGGAACAAGUUCAGGGCCCAAUUUCGUAGAGCUGCUGAAUGGUAAGCAUGAUUUGCUAAGGCUUAAUAUGUAUUUCACAGGUUAUUAAGAAAUCAAGGCAGGCAUUUACACGCUCACCAUGGAUUUGUAUUUAACGUCAUAAUGUUCAUGCAGUAAGCAUUGAAAAGGUUAGCAUGCCUUUUUGGUAAGCAGCGCUAUGAAAUGGAAAUCGUGCAGUAAGCACAAAAUCAGCCGUUAAGCAGCUCUAUGAAAUUUGGCACUGGUCUUAACCAAGUGGUACAUUAUACAUAAGUAUAGGAAUGCUACUUUCUGGGAAAAUUGUUCGUUUCAAUCUGAAAGCUCACUUAAUCUGGCAAACCCAACCAUAUGCCAAUACAUGACUGCAUAUUACAAAUAUAUUAUCUAAAAAAUUAUCUGAAUAUUUUGAUUUAUUUUUGAAUAAUUCAAAACUAAUGCACCUGUUAACGUAUAGACUUUGUGUUUCCAAAAUCUAAAUAUCAAUCAAAAUCACACUUAUAAAUCUUGUCUUUGAGAGA